rnacentral:rRNA from 1 species
AUGUUGCUGCCUUCCCCACUACUAGAUGAUUUGCCACACCCUCCUCUUGAAGAAGAGCGGUUCAUAGCGGCCUUUAAGCUCAUCACCAGAAAGAGGAACCUUCUCAUAAGAUGGUACAGACGGUGGGUUGAAUUAGCAGAUGCAGCGUUGCACAAGUAUGCCCAGCAAACUGGGGCACAUUAUCAGCUUCAUAUCAUAUAUGGCAUUGGUUCUGUACAUGAUGAGUUCAAUAUGGAUCAUUCUUUUCAUAUUAGUUUUAUGGCGUGGCCUAAGGAUCCUUCCCGUGCUAGAGAAGCUCCUGUGUUUUUCUUUGCUGAAGCACUUCUGUCUGGCUCCGACUUUUGUGAAGAGGACAUCACAUUGUGCUGUAUAGUGCAGCCAUCACCAAGUGAAGUUGAUAGAUGCCAUACAUGUCUCGGAAAGUUUCAAAUUGACCACCCUGGUGAUUCCGAGAGCUUUGCUGGUGGGCAGUACUACAUCGUGGAUGGAAUAAGCAAAGACCUGGAUUGCCCCAUGACGAGUGAUGCUGACUACAGAUGUUUCAACCCUGUCAGGGACAUUGGUUUAGUGGAGUACUUGGAUCAGGAUUUUGCCCGUUACGUAUCGUCUUCACCUUGGCAUCGACGACAUAAAGAAGAGAUUGAUGUAGCUAUCUUAGAUUAUUGCAGCCGGAUUAUGUGA